rnacentral:lncRNA from 13 species
GGUACGCCCUAGCCGAAAUCGCUAGCAACGCUUCUCAUGGAAGAUUAUACUGAAAACAUAGAAGUAGGAUGUCGACAAUUUUCUGAUUAUACUCACUCUUAUGCGAACAUAACGCGUGGACGUUUUAAACGCGGCCUUUACAUUAUUUAAUACCCGGACGACGAUUGCAUCACAAGUUUUAAAACGUCAACAGGAAAUGUAAAAGCCCUCAAAUUCAUUUAAAUUCACUAUUGUUAAAUGGAAAAUAGCGUCGAUCAUGCCAUGAGAAAGGCGUCCACAAAGCAUAAAUAAAAUGUAACGCGCAGAAUACACAUGGGAGAACGCGCUGCUUUAAAAGCGGAAGGGAUGUAUAUGCUUUCUUGAACAAUUUCACAAACAGCGGAAAGAAAAUCGUAAUUUGUUUGCAUGUUUCAUCGUAUCUAUUUCGUAUAGAUAGCUCAUUAACUACGAUUCAUGUCAAGGCGCGGCAUUAAUAAUUCGUCAUACUGUAUCCGCGAUCCUUGCACGAGGUCGUAUCCGAGGGCGCAGCUUGAGUUUUCAGAAUUCGUUGUCGCGUUGUGUCUUCCGAAUACAAAGCAACUUAAUUGCUAAUGAAAUAAUCAAAUAUACAUGUAUACAAUAUAUAAUGUUACAGUUGGUCAUAUAUAUCUUUUUUUAUAUA